GACGAACGCUGGCGGCGUGCCUAAUACAUGCAAGUCGAACGCUGAAGGAGGAGCUUGCUUCUCUGGAUGAGUUGCGAACGGGUGAGUAACGCGUAGGUAACCUGCCUGGUAGCGGGGGAUAACUAUUGGAAACGAUAGCUAAUACCGCAUAAUAGCAGUUGUUGCAUGACAACUGUUUGAAAGGUGCAAUUGCACCACUACCAGAUGGACCUGCGUUGUAUUAGCUAGUUGGUGGGGUAACGGCUCACCAAGGCGACGAUACAUAGCCGACCUGAGAGGGUGAUCGGCCACACUGGGACUGAGACACGGCCCAGACUCCUACGGGAGGCAGCAGUAGGGAAUCUUCGGCAAUGGACGGAAGUCUGACCGAGCAACGCCGCGUGAGUGAAGAAGGUUUUCGGAUCGUAAAGCUCUGUUGUAAGAGAAGAAAGAGUGUGAGAGUGGAAAGUUCACACUGUGACGGUAUCUUAACAGAAAGGGACGGCUAACUACGUG
rnacentral:rRNA from 1 species